UGCUUUUGGAAUGAAUUGUUCGACAAGCAUGUGUCCACAUACUUUUGGUCAUGUUGUGUAUAUGAUAAUGAAUGAUGAAGAGAUGAGAGAAAAGACAGUGGCUGGUGUAGGAUACUUACUGAGUCGUAGUCGGAGACCAAGCCAACUCCUUGGCGGUGACUUGUGCUGUAGAACUGAAUUCAUGGUCCACUAGUUUGGAACCAUUUAAGUCCUGUUUUUGGUUCUUCUCCUGAAAACUCACCAACAACACACCCCGGAGGAGAAGAUCACCUAUGGUUGGUCAUCUUCAUGUCUGUUCUCCAUGAAAGGUUCAAUUAAACAUGAAAAGAAAGGGAGUCAAUACUUAUUUUUAAAGAAGCACAAACAGGCAGAUCAGGUGCAAACAGACCCCAGCUCUUGCAUCACCACUGGACUCCAGAGCAGCUCCCUACCUGAGGCUAAUCAGAGUCAGUGUGGUCAGACUUCACAAGGACCCAGUCUACCACCACCAGAUGUAUCAAGGGAUGACACAGAGACCUCUGGCUCUGAGCAAGACAGUGAGCCAGAGCUGCCAGGAGAUGUCAUUGAGCCCCUCCCAACUGCAUCAAGCACCAGUUAUGCUGUUCCAAAAGGACCCAAUGAAGUUUCAAGAUCCAGAGAACAGGGUCCUGUACAGCCAUGUUUGAAAACAUUUCCCAGAACUCAUGGUACUAGGAAAAGGGCUUUCAUCAUUUUCUGGUAUAAGGGCAAUUCAUAGCUUGAAUAUUCUGUAAAUCAAGAUUCAACUUAUUGUUUCGCCUGUAGGCAUUUUUCUCUGCCCAAUACACUUGAAUCUGCCUUCACAUCACAGUCAGGUUUUUGUAACUGGAAAAAGGCUCUGUUUAAUGAUUCUGGGUUUAAGCUCCAUUCAAGGGCAGAGCAUCAUAUCAAUGCUAUGUGUGCUCGGAGUCAGCAUAAAACGGCUAUUGACAGCAACUCAUCAAUGUUAGAUGUCAUAAAUGAGGACUGGAAAAAGAAAGUGGAG
rnacentral:lncRNA from 1 species